GAUGAACGCUGGCGGCGUGCCUAAUACAUGCAAGUCGAGCGAACGGACGAGAAGCUUGCUUCUCUGAUGUUAGCGGCGGACGGGUGAGUAACACGUGGAUAACCUACCUAUAAGACUGGGAUAACUUCGGGACACCGGAGCUAAUACCGGAUGAUAUUUUGAACCGCAUGGUUCAAAAGUGAAAGACGGUCUUGCUGUCACUUAUAGAUGGAUCCGCGCUGCAUUAGCUAGUUGGUAAGGUAACGGCUUACCAAGGCAACGAUGCAUAGCCGACCUGAGAGGGUGAUCGGCCACACUGGAACUGAGACACGGUCCAGACUCCUACGGGAGGCAGCAGUAGGGAAUCUUCCGCAAUGGGCGAAAGCCUGACGGAGCAACGCCGCGUGAGUGAUGAAGGUCUUCGGAUCGUAAAACUCUGUUAUUAGGGAAGAACAUAUGUGUAAGUAACUGUGCACAUCUUGACGGUACCUAAUCAGAAAGCCACGGCUAACUACGUG
rnacentral:rRNA from 1 species